rnacentral:rRNA from 1 species
UACGUAGGUCCCGAGCGUUGUCCGGAUUUAUUGGGCGUAAAGCGAGCGCAGGUGGUUUAUUAAGUCUGGUGUAAAAGGCAGUGGCUCAACCAUUGUAUGCAUUGGAAACUGUUAGACUUGAGUGCAGGAGAGGAGAGUGGAAUUCCAUGUGUAGCGGUGAAAUGCGUAGAUAUAUGGAGGAACACCGGUGGCGAAAGCGGCUCUCUGGCCUGUAACUGACACUGAGGCUCGAAAGCGUGGGGAGCAAACAGG